CUACGGAACUCCUACGGGAGGCAGCAGUGGGGAAUUUUGGACAAUGGGGGCAACCCUGAUCCAGCAAUGCCGCGUGAGUGAAGAAGGGUUUCGGCUCGUAAAACUCUGUUGUCAGGGAAGAACGCCGACGGGAGUAACUGCCCGUCGGGUGACGGUACCUGACCAGAAAGCCACGGCUAACUACGUGCCAGCAGCCGCGGUAAUACGUAGGGUGCAAGCGUUAAUCGGAAUUACUGGGCAUAAAGCGUGCGCAGGCGGUUGUGUAAGUCAGAUGUGAAAUCCCCGGGCUCAACCUGGGAAUUGCAUUUGAGACUGCACGGCUAGAGUGUGUCAGAGGGGGGUAGAAUUCCACGUGUAGCAGUGAAAUGCGUAGAUAUGUGGAGGAAUACCGAUGGCGAAGGCAGCCCCCUGGGAUAACACUGACGCUCAUGCACGAAAGCGUGGGGAGCAAACAGGAUUAGAUACCCUGGUAGUCCUCUUCGA
rnacentral:rRNA from 1 species